rnacentral:rRNA from 1 species
GAUGAACGCUGGCGGCGUGCCUAAUACAUGCAAGUCGAGCGAACGGACGAGAAGCUUGCUUCUCUGAUGUUAGCGGCGGACGGGUGAGUAACACGUGGAUAACCUACCUAUAAGACUGGGAUAACUUCGGGAAACCGGAGCUAAUACCGGAUAAUAUUUUGAACCGCAUGGUUCAAAAGUGAAAGACGGUCUUGCUGUCACUUAUAGAUGGAUCCGCGCUGCAUUAGCUAGUUGGUAAGGUAACGGCUUACCAAGGCAACGAUGCAUAGCCGACCUGAGAGGGUGAUCGGCCACACUGGAACUGAGACACGGUCCAGACUCCUACGGGAGGCAGCAGUAGGGAAUCUUCCGCAAUGGGCGAAAGCAUGACGGAGCAACGCCGCGUGAGUGAUGAAGGUCUUCGGAUCGUAAAACUCUGUUAUUAGGGAAGAACAUAUGUGUAAGUAACUGUGCACAUCGUGACGGUACCUAAUCAGAAAGCCACGGCUAACUACGUG